rnacentral:rRNA from 1 species
CGGACGGGGGAGUAACGCGUAGGGAACCUGCCCUUUCCAGAGGGAUAGCCUCGGGAAACCGGGGAGUUAAAACCUACCAUGACACCUCUUAAAGACAUCUUUGAGAGGUCAAAGAUUUAUCGGCAGAGGAUGGGCCUGCGUCUGAUUAGCUAGUUGGUGGGGUAACGGCCUACCAAGGCGACGAUCAGUAGCCGACCUGAGAGGGUGAUCGGCCACAUUGGAACUGAGACACGGUCCAA